rnacentral:rRNA from 1 species
UACGGGGGGGGCAAGCGUUGUUCGGAAUUACUGGGCGUAAAGCGUGCGUAGGUGGUUCGUUAAGUCUGAUGUGAAAGCCCUGGGCUCAACCUGGGAAUGGCAUUGGAUACUGGCGACCUAGAGUGCGGUAGAGGGUAGCGGAAUUCCCGGUGUAGCAGUGAAAUGCGUAGAUAUCGGGAGGAACAUCCGUGGCGAAGGCGGCUACCUGGACCAGCACUGACACUGAGGCACGAAAGCGUGGGGAGCAAACAGG